AUGUCCACACGCUGCAGCAGGCGCUGGACGUCGCCCCGCCGCCUCGUCUUCGCACGGCACAAGACCGUGCGGAGCACGUUGAGCGGCAGAACCGCCUCCUCGUCGCCCAUGAGGACGAGCGGGUCAUGGCGGAGUGGUGCCAACAACACCCGGAGGACGUAUCCUACGAGCAAGCCUACUGGGCAAGGCGCCGCGAGGAGGAGACGCAAAGGCGCCGCGCUGAGCGGUUGGACAGGCGUCGGCGGAAGGCCCUGGCGCUAUCCCAACAUGUGGCUCGAUUCCUCGGAUCAGACCAGCGAGGAUGGCGACGAUGACGAUGACAACGACGACUGGGAGUAG
rnacentral:rRNA from 1 species